GUCCACGCCGUAAACGAUGAGCACUAGGUGUCGCGGGUAUUGACCCCUGCGGUGCCGACGCUAACGCAUUAAGUGCUCCGCCUGGGGACUACGGCCGCAAGGUUAAAACUCAAAGGAAUUGACGGGGGCCCCGCACAAGCGGUGGAGCAUGUGGUUCAAUUCGACGCAACGCGAAGAACCUUACCUGGGCUAGACAACGGAGGCCCACCCCAGAGAUGGGGUUUUCCCUUCGGGGACUUCCGGUUCAGGUGCUGCAUGGCUGUCGU
rnacentral:rRNA from 1 species